AGGGUUUGAUUCUGGCUCAGGAUGAACGCUAGCUACAGGCUUAACACAUGCAAGUCGAGGGGCAGCAUUUCAUUUUGCUUGCAAAGUGAAGAUGGCGACCGGCGCACGGGUGAGUAACACGUAUCCAACCUGCCGAUAACUCGGGGAUAGCCUUUCGAAAGAAAGAUUAAUAUCCGAUAGCAUAUCAAUCGCGCAUGAGAUUGAUAUUAAAGAAUUUCGGUUAUCGAUGGGGAUGCGUUCCAUUAGUUUGUUGGCGGGGUAACGGCCCACCAAGACUACGAUGGAUAGGGGUUCUGAGAGGAAGGUCCCCCACAUUGGAACUGAGACACGGUCCAA
rnacentral:rRNA from 1 species